GGCGGGGUAGCCAAGUGGUAAGGCGGCGGUCUGCAAAACCGCCAUUCGUGGGUUCGAUUCCCGCCCCCGCCU
rnacentral:tRNA from 1 species